rnacentral:rRNA from 1 species
UUAUCGGAGAGUUUGAUCCUGGCUCAGGACGAACGCUGGCGGCGUGCCUAAUACAUGCAAGUCGAGCGGACAGAUGGGAGCUUGCUCCCUGAUGUUAGCGGCGGACGGGUGAGUAACACGUGGGUAACCUGCCUGUAAGACUGGGAUAACUCCGGGAAACCGGGGCUAAUACCGGAUGCUUGUUUGAACCGCAUGGUUCAGACAUAAAAGGUGGCUUCGGCUACCACUUGCAGAUGGACCCGCGGCGCAUUAGCUAGUUGGUGAGGUAACGGCUCACCAAGGCAACGAUGCGUAGCCGACCUGAGAGGGUGAUCGGCCACACUGGGACUGAGACACGGCCCAGACUCCUACGGGAGGCAGC